rnacentral:rRNA from 1 species
UGGCGGACGGGUGAGUAACGCGUGGGUAACCUGCCUUACACAGGGGGAUAACACCUGGAAACAGGUGCUAAUACCGCAUAAGCGCACAGGGCCGCAUGGCCCGGUGUGAAAAACUCCGGUGGUGUAAGAUGGACCCGCGUCUGAUUAGCUUGUUGGCGGGGGUAGAGGCCCACCAAGGCGACGAUCAGUAGCCGGCCUGAGAGGGUGGACGGCCACAUUGGGACUGAGACACGGCCCAAACUCCUACGGGAGGCAGCAG